rnacentral:rRNA from 1 species
AGUGAACGCUGGCGGUAGGCCUAACACAUGCAAGUCGAACGGCAGCACAGUAAGAGCUUGCUCUUACGGGUGGCGAGUGGCGGACGGGUGAGGAAUACAUCGGAAUCUACUUUUUCGUGGGGGCUAACGUAGGGAAACUUACGCUAAUACCGCAUACGACCUACGGGUGAAAGCAGGGGAUCUUCGGACCUUGCGCGAUUGAAUGAGCCGAUGUCGGAUUAGCUAGUUGGCGGGGUAAAGGCCCACCAAGGCGACGAUCCGUAGCUGGUCUGAGAGGAUGAUCAGCCACACUGGAACUGAGACACGGUCCAGACUCCUACGGGAGGCAGCAGUGGGGAAUAUUGGACAAUGGGCGGAAGCCUGAUCCAGCCAUACCGCGUUGGUGAAGAAGGCCUUCGGGUUGUAAAGCCCUUUUGUUGGGAAAGAAAAGCAGCAGGUUAAUACCCCGCUGUUCUGACGGUACCCAAAGAAUAAGCACCGGCUAACUUCGUG